rnacentral:rRNA from 1 species
CUUGGUCAUUUAGAGGAAGUAAAAGUCGUAACAAGGUCUCCGUUGGUGAACCAGCGGAGGGAUCAUUACCGAGUUUACAACUCCCAAACCCCUGUGAACAUACCACUUGUUGCCUCGGCGGAUCAGCCCGCUCCCGGUAAAACGGGACGGCCCGCCAGAGGACCCCUAAAACUCUGUUUCUAUAUGUAACUUCUGAGUAAAACCAUAAAUAAAUCAAAACUUUCAACAACGGAUCUCUUGGUUCUGGCAUCGAUGAAGAACGCAGCGAAAUGCGAUAAGUAAUGUGAAUUGCAGAAUUCAGUGAAUCAUCGAAUCUUUGAACGCACAUUGCGCCCGCCAGUAUUCUGGCGGGCAUGCCUGUCCGAGCGUCAUUUCAACCCUCGAACCCCUCCGGGGGAUCGGCGUUGGGGAUCGGGACCCCUCACACGGGUGCCGGCCCCGAAAUACAGUGGCGGUCUCGCCGCAGCCUCUCCUGCGCAGUAGUUUGCACAACUCGCACCGGGAGCGCGGCGCGUCCACGUCCGUAAAACACCCAACUUUCUGAAAUGUUGACCUCGGAUCAGGUAGGAAUACCCGCUGAACUUAAGCAUAUCAAUAAGCGGAGGA